rnacentral:rRNA from 1 species
CCUACGGGCGGCAGCAGUGAGGAAUAUUGGUCAAUGGGCGAGAGCCUGAACCAGCCAAGUCGCGUGAGGGAGUACUGCCCUAUGGGUUGUAAACCUCUUUUGUCGGGGAGCAAAAGCCGGACGUGUCCGGCUGUGAGAGUACCCGAAGAAAAAGCAUCGGCUAACUCCGUGCCAGCAGCCGCGGUAAUACGGAGGAUGCGAGCGUUAUCCGGAUUUAUUGGGUUAAAAGGGUGCGCAGGCGGAUUUUUAAGUCAGCGGUAAAAUCGUGGGGCUCAACCCCAUCCAGCCGUUGAAACUGGGGAUCUAGAGUGUGCGAGAGGUAUGCGGAAUGCGUGGUGUAGCGGUGAAAUGCAUAGAUAUCACGCAGAACCCCGAUUGCGAAGGCAGCAUACCGGUGAACAACUGACGCUCAGGCACGAAAGCGUGGGUAUCGAACAGGAUUAGAUACCCCAGUAGUC